rnacentral:lncRNA from 1 species
UCUGCCUCCCGAGUGCUGGGAUUAAAGGUGUGCGCCACCACGCCCGGCUAACCAAAAUACAUUCUUUUUUUUUCCCCAGAUUUUUUUAAUUAGAUAUUUUCUUCAUUUACAUUUCAGAUGCUAUCCCCAAAGUCCCCUAUACCCUCCCCCUGCCCUGCUCCCCUACUCACUCACUCCUACUUCUUGGCCCUGGCGUUCCCCUGUACUGGGGUAUAUAAAGUUUGCUAGACCAAGGGGCCUCUCUUCCCAAUGAUGGCCAACUAGGCCAUCUUCUGCUACAUAUGCAGCUAGAGACACGAGUUCUGGGGGUACUGAUUAGUUCAUAUUGUUGUUCCACCUAUGAGGUUGCAGACCCCUUCAGCUCUUGGGUACUUUCUCUAGCUCCUAUAUUGGGGGCCCUGUGUUCCAUCCUAUAGAUGACUGUGAGCAUCCACUUCUGUAUUUGCCAGGCACUGGCAAAGCCUCACAGGAGACAGCUAUAUCAGGGUCCCUUCAGCGAAAUCUUGCUGGCAUAUGCAAUAGUGUCUGCAUUGGAGACUGAUUAUGGGAUGGACCCCCGAGUGGGGCAGUCUCUGGAUGGUCCAUCCUUUUGUCUUAGCUCCAAACUUUUUCUCUGCAACUCCUUCCAUGAUUAUUUUAUUCUCUAUUCUAGGGAGGGAUGAAGUAUCCACGCGUUGGUCUUCCUUCUUGGUUUUCUUGUGUUUCCAACAUACAUUCUUUAUUGAGCAUUAGGAGCAAGACAUUGAGCAGGGCACUGGAAUGCUGCUCUGGUCCUGAUGACAUUCACUGACUAAGGGGAUGGACAGCUUAAAUUUGGUUGUGUGGAGGGGUGUGAACAGGAAGUUGGCAGGCCUAUCUUGUAGAAUAUAAUGUCACUUCUGAUAAAGAUUAUGUACAAGCUCCAUUUACCUUUUUAUUUUUUAGUCAUUCAGGUUCAGCUGUUCGGGGUAGGGCUCUGUCAACCUUCCAGUAGAGGGUGGUGCUACAGGAGAGUCCCUAGUGUUCAUAGCUUGAUACUGGGUACUUGGAGGGGAGCUGAGGUCAGUCAGGAACUGGUAAGGAGGUGUAAGUAGAAGCAUGCUGCUUCUGUUCAUGUUCUUACGGCUCCCCACUCUGUAGCCUGAUUAGUACUGCACUCCUUUCUACCACUGACUAAUGUUCUGUGCUGUGAAUACUGCUCUAGUGUGCUUUCUAUUGCUGUGAUACACACCGUGACCAAAAAUAACAGGAGGAGGGAAGGGUUUAUUUCAUCCUAGAACUUACAGUCCUUCAUGAAGGGCGGCGAGGGCAGGAACUCAGGCGGGAACUGAAGCAGAGCCACAGAAGACUGCUGCUUAGUAGCUCGUUCUCCAUGAUGUCUCAGCCUGCUUUCUUCUCCUUCAGGACCCCUGCCCACGGGUGCCACCACCCAAGGUAGGCGAGGCCCUCCCAUGCCAAUCAGUAAUGAAGAAAGCAUCCCAGUGGCAUACCUACAAGAUAUUCUAAUAGAGGCAGUUCUUCAAUUGAAGUCCCGUCUGCCUAGGUGGUCCCAGUUUUGGGUCAAGCACAUAUAAAUACAGCAUGCUGUUGAUCCAUUUAUCAGUUGAUGGAUUUUAGAGGUUUCCCCUAUUAUAACUAGUGUGGGUAUGAACAUUCAAAUGUAAAUUUUUAUGUAAACAUAGUUCUUUCUAAAAUAUUUGUUUUUAUUAUUUUAAAAGUCACCAAAAAUAAACAACAACAUCCACCAGACCCAAAGACUGCACAACUCAGUGAACUUGUAUCCAGUAAGACAGAGCUGGGGAUUUUACACUGACUCUAUACUUUCAUGUCAAACAUAUUUCUAUGUGCUUGUUGGUUACAAAAAUUAAAGCAAAAAUAGUUUUGGUGGUGGGUAUAUUUUCUUUUUGUAGGACUUAUAAAAAUGUCUAUGUGUGUUUUGCCUGCAGAUAUGUCUGUGCACCUUUUGUAGGCUGCUGCUCUUGGAGGCCAGAGAGGGCAUGGGAUGGAUCUCUUGGAACUGGAGUUAGUGGAUGAUUAACCGUGUGGGUGCUGGGAAUCAAACAGCAGUCCUCUAGUUGGUGCUCUUAGCCAUGAGACAUCCGGCCAUUCCUUGAACAUGUGUUUCAUUUCCCUUUGCUUAUAGCUAGAGUGGAAUUAGGCACUGAUAAUGGUAACACUUUUUACCUCUUAGAGAAACUGUUUUCAGGCGUGGUUUCACCAUUUUACAUUGUCACCAACAGUGUGUAAGGAUCCAGUGUAGCCAUAUCUUUGCCAACACAAUAACAUCCAUCUGAGUAGUGGGUUUUAAACCAGUGCCCAUUGUGGUCCUGAUUUACAUGUCCCUAAUGACUAAGGACAAUGAAUCAAGAACUUUCAAGUGUUCUCUGAGAUACUGCUGCUCUGCUCAGCUUGGCUUGGCUUGGCUUGGCUUGGCUUGGCUUGGCUUGGCUUGGCUUGGCUUGGCUUGGCUUGGCUUGGCUUGGCUUGGCUCAGCUCAGCUUGGCUUGGCUUUUGGUUGCUGGAGUUUUGUUUUGUUUUGUUGACACAGGAUCUCAUAUAGCCCAGUCUAGCCUUGAACUCAUCUGUAGCUGAGGAUGGUCUAGAACUCCCAAUCCUGCUUCUACCUUCCAAGGACUAGGAUUAUACAAAUAUAUCACCACAUCUGGUUUUAGGCUGUGUGUGCUGGGGAUGGAGGGGUGCAGCCAGUGUCCCCUCAAGUCUUCUCCUUUGACAUUGAAAUGUGAUCACAGGCCAAGUGGAGUGGUGCAGGCCUUUAAUCUGUGCUCAGGAGGCUGAGGCACAGGGAUCACUGGGAUUUUGAAGCCAACCUGGUUUACAAAGCAAGUUCCAGGACAGCCAGGAUUGUUAAUGCAAAGAAAGGCUGUCUCAAAGAACC